UAGAUUCUUUCACUCGAAGUGGAGCAGAGGGGGAUGUUGGGUUUAACAAGGAAAACACUGAAAACAGAACGCCGCCUCAGCUCAUUGAGAUCAGCAUGGAAUUCAGGAGUCUUUCAGAGCACUUUUGUGAUGCUGCAAGUGGGAGUGGAUUUCUUGCUUAGCUGGAGACAGCAGAGAACCACAUCCUGUCGUCCUGAAAAAAAGAAAGAGACUACUUUCUCCAAAGAGAUCCAAACGCCAUUGGCACAGACUUUGUUAAGUGAUCAGUAACAUAUAAUUCAGCAAGGGCCGUCCUUAGGAGGUGCAACUGGUGCGUCGCACCGGAUGCGUUUUGCAUUACAAACAAGUGUGUUCUUAAUAUAGAUAACAGAUAAAAUUACUAUUAUAGGACACAUCAAUUGUCAAUAUCAAGCAGCAAAACUAACUGUACUGUACAGCUAAAAAUAGCUGGACGCAAAUGAGACCGGAAGCUACACCAAUAGAAUUUACAAAUGGCGGCACCCAUUUAUACAUCAGGAAAAAGGUGGAUAAACCUAAUUUAAAUUCAGAAUACAUAUGGACCAAAUAAGAAUACAUAUUUUGUGCCUUUACACUGAUUUGCUUUAACGUUAUGUUUUAUUUUUUUAGUGUGAAACCUGAAUUGAAAUGUUCAUUUAGAAAUCAGAAACAAGACACACCUU